rnacentral:lncRNA from 1 species
CACUAAAAUUCAGAUGUAUAAGAACAACAAAAAAGAAACUUAAAAAAAAAUUAGCUGAUCAUAUUUUGCAGGAGAGCUCCCAUUCCCACUUAGUAGUAAAAAAUUCAAACAAAAAAAAAAAGUCAUGAAUUUACCAAUUAAAAUCAGCCAUGUCUUGUUCUGCUCAUUAAGCUUUGGAAGGGUUAACUUUUAGACUCUUGGGUCUUAGUCAAUUCACAGUUUAGAACUUUAUGAGGACCAAAACCACAAGCAAGAACAACAAAAAAAGAAUAAGUAAAUUGAACUCCAUUAAAACUUUAAACUUUUAUGCAUCAGAGCACACUAUCAACAGAGUAAAAUGGCAAUCCACAAAACGGGAGAAAAUAUUUGCCAAUCACAUAUUUGAUUAGGAAUUGAUAUUCAGAAUAUAUAGGGAACUCCUACAAUGCAACAACACCAAAAAAAAAAAAAAAUUACCCAAUUUUAAAAUGGGCAAAGACCUGAAUAUACAUUUCUCCAAAGAAGAUAUAUAAACAGCCAAUAAGCAUAUGAAAAUAUGUUCAACAUCACUAGUCAUUAGGAAAAUACAAAUCAAAACCACAAUAUCACUUCACACCCAUUCAGAUGGCCACUCUCAAGAGGAAGGAAAGAAAGAAGGAGGGAAGAAAGGAAAGAAAGAAGGAAGGGAAGAGAGAGGGAGGAAGGGAGGAAGGAAGAGAAAAUAUCAGGAGUUACCAUUGUGGCUCAGCAAUUUAAGGACAUGACAUUGUCUCUGUGAGGAUGUGGAUUUGACCUCUGGCCUUGCUCAUUGGGUUGAGGAUCCUGCGUUGCCACAAGCUGUGGCAUAGGUCACAGAUGCAGCUUGGAUCAGAACUACUAUAUGAUCCAGCAGUUCCACCUCUGGGUGUAUACCCCCCCAAAAUGAAAGCAGAGUCUUGAACAUAUAUGAUGGACAGGUACACCAGUGUUCAUAGCAGCAUUAUUCACACUAAACAGAAAGUGGAAGCAAACCAAGUGUCCAUUGAUGGACGAAUGUAUAAAUAAAAUGCACUGAACAUACAAUGGAAUGUUAUUCAGCCUUAAAGAGGAAGGAAAUUCUGGAGUUCCCUGGUGGCUCAGUAGGCUGGGGAUCUGGCAUUCCCACAGUGGCUCAGGUCACUGCUCUGGCACAUGUUCAAUCCCUGGCUUGGGAACUCCCACAUGCCACAUGCAUGGCCAGAAAAAAAAAUUUUUUUUAAAAGGAAGGAAAUUCUGACACAUGCUACAAUGUGGAUGAACCUUAAAGACAUUCUGUUAAGUGGAAUAAACCAGUCACAAAAGAACCAAUAUUGUAUGAUUCCUCCUCUGUGAAACUCCUAGAGUAGUCAAAUUCAUAGAGAUGGAAAGUUGAAUGGUCGUUGCCAGAAGCUGGGGAUGUUGGGGAAUGGGGAGAGUGUUUAAUGGGUACAGAGUUUCAUUUUGGGAAGAUGAAAACAUUCUGGAGAUGGAUAAUGGUGAUGGUUGUACAAUAACUUGAAUAUACCUAAAAUGCCACAGAGCUGUACACUUUGGUUAAAAUGGUUAAUUUUAUGUUAUGUUUAUUUUAUUAUAAGAGCAGUUUCUCUACUUUCCAGGUUUCUGCUGGCUGCUUCCUCUUUCCCAGAAGUUAGGUGUCCUCAUAGCAUUGAUGGUAGCCCCUUGGUUUGCAUACUGACCUCAGUUAGGGAGUCAGCUGGAGGAAGUUCUAACCAUACUGCCUCCAGCGUUAUAUCUUUGAUCUAUUCUUCCAGGAAGUUUGCUUUCUUUCUCUGGUGAGAAGGCCCCAAACUCAGCCAUCAGGCCUCAUAGUUCCCCUGGGAUCAUCUGCAGUAUCUAUUUGGUCCUCAGUCUGGGAAUCUACCCUUCAGUCCUUAGCUGUAAGGUCACUUCACCCCUUGUGACACUGACCAAUCCCCCCCCAUCCUCCUUAAGACCACCAGUCUGCUUCUUGGGCACCUUACACAUUCCCCACACGUGAGGACCAGGCAGGAUCUAUAUGCUGUGCUGACUCAGUAAGAGCUACCUUGAAUCCUCUCUUGGCAUCAACAUACCGUUUCAUUUUCUCUUGUCCCUUUCCAAUAUUGGCUCAAAGAUGACUAGAAAAGAGACUACUGGUCCCCCUCUGGUUUUGGCUUUUCUCUUAACCCAUUUAAAGUUUCCAUCAUUUCUCUACCCACCCAACCCCCUCGGCUAAGACCCAGAUUGGUGAACUACUGGAUUCAUGAGGAACCCAGUUGGUCCUUACUCUUCUUUAUUCAUUGCCCAUGAAACUCUCCCUCUCCCUCUCCUGAUUGCAUCAAUGGGGCUCUCCACUCCUCCCCUGGGGGGUGGGAUGUCCAACCAGCUUCCUAUAUCCUCCAAGCACUAUUAAGUCAUCUCUACUAUGUCUCUUGGUUGACCCUAAAAGUUGAAAAUGUUUGAACUGCCUUUACAUUAAUAUGACUUGCAAAUGUGCUUUUGUCUUAGGUCCCACGGUGUGUUUGAUUAUAUUUCCUUCCUCUAUCAGUGACUCAAAAGAGAGUAUUUUUAGCGUUGAGGUUAAUGGAUUCACUUUUAUAUUCCAUCAGUUGUUUAAAGUCAUGGCUUAUUUUAGUUUACAGUUUUGCUUUUCCAGUUUUAAUUGCCUUUUUGUCUUGCAUUAUUUGACUUUCUUAUGGCCUUCAUUUCCCCCCAAACAUCUAUCAUAUUUUCUAUUCUAUAAGCUUCCUUUUAUUCUAGGGCCCUCUAUCCCUCCUCUCCAAUCUAUACCAGGCUGUCUCCAGGUCUGCUACACAUUCAGGAACUGGAAAUCACCCUUUACCACCCUCCUGGUUUGGUUCUACAGUUUCAAGAUCCCCUGCCUUUUUCUUUGUUUACACCGUCAUUUUUCUGGAAUAGGUCCUCAAGUAACUCCUAAGAAUAGAUGGCAGGCUUGUAAACUUUGAAUCUUUGGGUACCUAUGUCUUUACUCUGUUCUCCCACUUAAUGAAUAAUUUGUCUGGGCAUUAGAACUCUAAGAUGAGAAUCCUUUUCCCUUAGAAUUCUUUAGGAAUUGCUGGAUUGUUUUCAAGCAUCCAGUGUUGCUGAUAAUUCUGUCAGUCUGAUUCCUGUCUCCUGUGCCUGAGCUUUUUUUCUCUCUUGAAGCUAUGACCAUUACUUUCUUAUCUUUGGCAUUCUAUGAUUUUACAAUGACAUGUGUUGUCUAAUUUUUUUUUUUCAGUCUAAAAAUUCUUAUCUUUCAACUUUGGGAAAUUCUGUAUUUCUGAGAACUCCUUUUUGUUCUGACUCUUUCUAUGACACCCUGUUCUUACUGUUUAUAAGAUAUUAAUCAGAAUUUAGUAUCCUUUCUGUGUGUAUCAGGGGAACAGUAGGAUUGUGUUUUGUUUUCUUCUCUAAUUCUGUCUUUUUCUCCUACAUUAUUUUUUAUUCCUUCCAUGUCACUUUUUCUUGUUCUCACUCAUAUCACCAGCUUUCCCCAGCUAUCUACUAAUCCUUAAUUUUCCGUUCAGAAUUCAGAAAUGGGGUAAAGACAAACUAAUUGUGAGUAGUGCGUGUCUGAAUGAUGGACUACACUUUAAGAUGUGCAGUCAGGAGGCUGACCUUUAGCCUAAGAAAUACACAUACCCCAAGAAGAAACUCUUUUAUCUUAAAAGCCAGUUCACAUACUAGUUGCUUAGUUCUUGAAACAAUUAAUUCAAUUUCUUUAGAGGGAAGUCUCCAGUUACUUUGCCUGGGGAAAAAAAACUCCUGACUGAUGGCCAUUAUGUAUCUGGGAAGAGAAUGGGGCCAACUAUUUCAUGUAGACAUCUUCAUUUAACCUCUGUUUUCUAUGUCACAACUCAUUCUCAGUUCUCCCUGGCUUUUCUAGUAUCUUGAUAUAGGGUCUCGCCUCAGCCCUGGCUCCUUCAUCUCACACUCUAAGCUAUAGCUUCAUCCAACUCAUUUAAUCAUUCAUAACUCCUCAGUCUUCUUCCGUGCAUCAAUAAAAUACUGGACUAUCUCAGUUGCCAAAAACUACCCUUCCUUCCCAUCUAAUCUUCUAUUUGUUGUGGGACUAUAUCUUUUAUCCAGUGUUAUAAAUUUAAUUGGAGUCUCAGAUUGAUGAAAUGAACAUGUGUCAGGCUACUAUCUUAAAGGGAACAUCAUUGGCCUAUGAUCAAAAUGGUUUGAUAUAAAGACCUCUCCUUUCAUUUUUACUAGAGCUUUUAACUUCUGGUAUCUAUUUAAUUUCAAAGCACUUUUUCUGAUGAUAUUCUUAUGAUCUUUUGAUACCAAGAUGUAGCUUCUAAAUCCCAAGUUUGGUUAAUUUAUCUAGGUCCUUUAUCACCAAAUUGAUGUUUGUAAAUGUUCUGUGGGCUCAGACUAUCUAUUAUGUUUGUAAAUUAAAACUUAGUAAAUGUCCAUUAACCUGACCAUGUUGAUCAUGUUAGAUCCUUUAGUUCAUUUUUCUUUUUAUUUUUUAGGUGUUUUUUUCUAUUAUAGUUUAUUUACAUUGUUUUGUCAGUUUCUGCUGUACAGAAAAGUGACCCAGUCAUGUAUAUAUAUGUAUAUGUACAUUUAUAUAUAUAUGUAUACACACACACACAUAUAUAAAUGUACAUAUAUGUACUCCUGUGUACAUUACCCCUCUAUACAGUGGUGACCUGGAGCUGAUGUAGACUGAUGUGUCUCUUCCCAUUUCUGUAUUCAGGGACAUCACUUUGAUAGCUUGAAAUUGACCUACCAGGGAUGGAGUAUUUAUACUGUGAAAAUUAGCAAGCACUACAAAGCAAGGCUUUGUUUUUUGUUUAUUAUGUUUCCAUAGACUCAGUUGUUAAUCAUUUCCAAUAUACCACUGCAUAUCCACUUCCAAAAUUUGUGGGGUUUGCUAGACUGCUUCAAAAUUUUACUUGAGAGCUAGUAUUCUCCCUUUUAGCAUUUAUUUCAUUUCAAAACUCUCUCAUAUAGCAAGCAUUGCUUUAAUAAUUUUUGUCAUUAUAAUUUUCUUUGUGGAAAUUCAUAAUUUUUUUAAUCUAGGGAAUUUAUAAACUUAACCAAGGUAUAACUAGGUAUGUAAUUUUUUCCCCAUUAAUCACAUCUGAAUCUUGGUAACAAUUAUUAAUCUAAAAACUUGUCUUUAUCCAAAGAAAUUUUCUUCUUUUUUAAAAAAAUCAUUUCCCCAUGAAUUUCUUUCUUCUCAGGGCUCUUACUUUUUAGCAUUGUUAAGUUUCUUACCUCCAAAUCUCAUGUCUUUUCCCUCAUACCCUUGGGAUUUUGUUCUUUUGUGCCAUUUGUUCUGCAAAGUCUUCCAAGCCACUGUUUAUGUUCUCAGCAACACCUGUCUUCUUUUAAUUGAGAUUGAAGUUUAGCUCCAGAAAGUCUUAUAUAUUCUGGUUGUAUCUCCUUGAGGAACUUCAGUAUUUUGAGUUCUUUCCCACUCUUUCUUUAAGUUCUAUGGCAAUAGAGCUCCCCACCCCACCCCUUUCGUGGGUCUCUGAUCUCCUUAAAGGAAUUAUUAUUCAUUUGUAUCUUCAUGAUUUAUUUACCUUCAGCACCAAUUCAGGCAGGACUUUGAGGUUCCUGUGACUAUUAAUGGUGGCCAUGAAAACUUCUGCUUAUGCCAGUUGAUAAGCAUUGAGCUGACAGUUGCAACACUGAGACAGGAAGGAAGACUUUCUGGGAAUAAAGAGCAGUCCUCUCCCCCUGAGGGACUGGAAACAGUUCAGCUACCAAAGUAUUUCACCUCCAGGCUGUGAGGUCUGAUAAUCUUCCCCAAGCAUAAGUGCCUUAUGCAAACAGGUCUCUGCUUAUCUGGCUCCCCCCAAAGGCAGGAAGUUUGGAGUUUUCACCCCACAACCCCCUCCACUCUUCCUUAAUGCCACAGGGAACAGAGACCUUGACUCUUAGGUUGGCACACCCUCUCCUGAUUCUGCCAGCAGACUCAAUUGUUCAUUGGGUUUUCCAAGGGAGAAUUUAGAGUAAUGAGUCAGGGAUAUGUUCUCA